GACGAACGCUGGCGGCGUGCCUAAUACAUGCAAGUAGAACGCUGAAGGAGGAGCUUGCUUCUCUGGAUGAGUUGCGAACGGGUGAGUAACGCGUAGGUAACCUGCCUGGUAGCGGGGGAUAACUAUUGGAAACGAUAGCUAAUACCGCAUAAUAGUAGAUGUUGCAUGACAUUUACUUAAAAGGUGCAAUUGCAUCACUACCAGAUGGACCUGCGUUGUAUUAGCUAGUUGGUGGGGUAACGGCUCACCAAGGCGACGAUACAUAGCCGACCUGAGAGGGUGAUCGGCCACACUGGGACUGAGACACGGCCCAGACUCCUACGGGAGGCAGCAGUAGGGAAUCUUCGGCAAUGGACGAAAGUCUGACCGAGCAACGCCGCGUGAGUGAAGAAGGUUUUCGGAUCGUAAAGCUCUGUUGUAAGAGAAGGACGAGUGUGAGAGUGGAAAGUUCACACUGUGACGGUAUCUUACCAGAAAGGGGCGGCUAACUACGU
rnacentral:rRNA from 1 species